GCCGUUGUAGCUCAGUUGGUAGAGCGCAUCCAUGGUAAGGAUGAGGUCUCGGGUUCGAAUCCCGACAACGGCU
rnacentral:tRNA from 1 species